rnacentral:rRNA from 1 species
AACGAACGCUGGCGGCAGGCUUAACACAUGCAAGUCGAACGCCCCUUACGGGGAGUGGCAGACGGGUGAGUAACGCGUGGGAAUCUACCCAUCUCUACGGAAUAACUCAGGGAAACUUGUGCUAAUACCGUAUACGCCCUUUGGGGGCAAGAUUUAUCGGAGAUGGAUGAGCCAGCGUUGGAUUAGCUAGUUGGUGGGGUAAAGGCCUACCAAGGCGACGAUCCAUAGCUGGUCUGAGAGGAUGAUCAGCCACAUUGGGACUGAGACACGGCCCAGACUCCUACGGGAGGCAGCAGUGGGGAAUAUUGGACAAUGGGCGCAGGCCUGAUCCAGCCAUGCCGCGUGAGUGAUGAAGGCCCUAGGGUUGUAAAGCUCUUUCACCGAUGAAGAUAAUGACUGUAGUCGGAGAAGAAGCCCCGGCUAACUUCGUGCCAGCCGCCGCGGUAAAAC